rnacentral:rRNA from 1 species
CCUACGGGGGGCAGCAGUGAGGAAUAUUGGUCAAUGGUCGGGAGACUGAACCAGCCAAGCCGCGUGAGGGAUGAAGGUACAGAGUUUCGUAAACCUCUUUUGUCAGGGAACAAAGGCGGGGACGUGUCCCCGGAUGAGUGUACCUGAAGAAAAAGCAUCGGCUAACUCCGUGCCAGCAGCCGCGGUAAUACGGAGGUGGCAAGCGUUGUCCGGAUUUACUGGGUGUAAAGGGCGUGUAGCCGGGCCGGCAAGUCAGAUGUGAAAUCCCAAGGCUCAACCUUGGAACUGCAUUUGAAACUGUUGGUCUUGAGUAUCGGAGAGGCAGGCGGAAUUCCUAGUGUAGCGGUGAAAUGCGUAGAUAUUAGGAGGAACACCAGUGGCGAAGGCGGCCUGCUGGACGACAACUGACGGUGAGGCGCGAAAGCGUGGGGAGCAAACAGGAUUAGAUACCCGGGUAGUC